AUACCCUCAUCAGAGACAAGGUUUGAAUAUUUUAGACGGGGAAAAUUUACAGUUUACAAGGAAUAAAAUUCACAGCUUACAAAGAAUAAAAUAAAAGAAUA